UCACUCUUUUGUUUCAUCACAAACAUUAUCCACUUCAGAAAGACAUUGUCCACAUAUUAUGUAUCAAGUCGAUAACAGCUUUAAGUACUUAUAUCAGAUGAAGCAAAUUGCUCAUAAAAAUGGCUUCUGCAUUUUCUCAGUCUUAUGUUUUAGACUGCUUUGGAAAGCCAAAAAAAACCUCUCUUUAUUCCACAGAAUUUCAAAACAAACAAAAAAUAGACAUCUCAUCAGGUAAAAAAAGAAUUCAACUCUCCUUGAUAAAAUCCAUAUCAAAAUCCGUCACAAAACGAAGAACACAUAAUAGGACUGACGAUGCACAACAACUGGUUGACAAUAUGUCUCAACGAGAUGCAGUAUUGUGGUAUAUUCAGAAUGGCAAUCUAAGGGAAUCUUUAAAACUCUUUCGACGAAUACAGCAGCUUGAAAAUGUUCCAGUUCCAGAACAGUUGAAACAAAUCCAUGGUGUUAUUCUUAAAAGCGGCCAAGAUAUAGAUGUUUAUACAGGCAGUAGGCUUAUUGAUCUGUAUGCAAAAUCUCAAUUAAUAGAGGAUGCGCGCAAGGUAUUUGACAAAAUGCCUGAACGGAAUUUGGUCUCAUGGAACACCAUGGUUGCAGCUUAUAUCACUUGCAAUUGCAAGGAAAUGGCGUUAAUGUUUAUUCAGGAAAUGCAGCAGGCUAAUGUUCCAGUAGAUGAGUUUACAGUGGCUACUGUUCUCGGCGCGUGCUCAAGUUUGUUAGCUCUGGACCAAGGCUUGCAAGCCCAUGCUCACAUUGUCAAAGCUGGAUUUGGGGUGGAUGCCUACAUAGCCACUGCUCUUAUUGAUAUGUAUGCCAAAUGUAAUUGUGUAGAAGGAUUUCGCAAGGUGAUUGACGAAAGGAAGGAUCCCAGUCUGGUGAAUUGGACAGCUCUGAUAUCAGGAUAUACUCAAAAUGGACUACCGGGGAAGGCAAUUGAGGUUUUUAAUCAAAUUCUUAGGUUGGGAAUUAUGCCAAACGCAUUCAUGCUUGUAAGAGUUCUGAGGGCAUCAGGUGGCCUAGAAGCAAUAGGACAUGGCUUGCAAGUCCAUGGUUAUAUUGUUAAAUUUGGGGUGUUCUCGGAUGUUGAUGUGGGGAACGCUCUUCUUGACAUGUAUGUUAAGUGUGGCGAUAUAGAUUCUGCACAUACAGUCUUUGGAAAAAUGCAGAGACGGGACAUAGUAUCAUGGAAUUCAAUGCUAGCAGGAUAUGUACAGAAUGGAAAAGGAGAUAGCGCUGGAAAACUCUUCCAGGGAAUGAAAUUAGAAUGUCUCCAGCCUGAUCAGUACACUUAUGCCUCUUUUCUCCAAGCAUGUGCAACCUCGGAGAACCAUAAAGUUGGAAUGGGAAUACACGGUGAAAUAAUCAAAUCUGGGUAUGAGACUAGCAUCUUUGCUAGCAGCGCUCUUGUUGAUAUGUAUUGCAAGUGUGACAUGGUGCAAGAUGCACGCUAUGUUUUUGACAGAAUGCCUGAGAGAAAUAUUGUAUCGUGGGCUGCAAUGAUUUCAGGGUAUGCUCAAAACGCAUAUGGUGAGGAGGCCUUGAAACUUGUUUGCCUAAUGUUAGGGACAUGCAUAUAUCCUGAGCAAUAUACCUUUACUAGUGUUCUUGUUGCCUGUUCCUCUCUAGCAUCCUUGGAAUACUGCAAGAUGGUUCAUGCUCACAUAAUGAGAACAGGGUUUGACUCUAAUCUUUCUGUACAGAAUGCCCUUGUUGAUGCAUAUAGUAAAUGUGGCAGUUUAGCUGAUGCAUUGUAUGUUUUUAAUGCAAUGCCUGCAAGGGAUAUUAUAUCAUGGAAUGCAAUGAUAGCUGGAUUUGUGCAGAAUGGUAGUUUCUUGGAGGCUCUGAAACUAUUCUAUCAAAUACAGUUUACAGAUAUUGAACCAGAUGAAUUCACCUUCCCUAGUGUUAUGAGGGCAUGUGCUAGCCUAGCAGAUCUGAAGCAAGGAAAAUCCAUUCACAAUUACAUCAUCAAAAAUGGAAGUGAGUCAAAUAUCUGGGUGGGAACUUCCCUUCUUGAUAUGUAUAUGAAGUGUAGGAGCAUUGGAUAUGCAUGCAUGGUUUUUAAGAGAAUGCCUGAAUGGAAUAUUAUUUCAUGGAAUGCCAUGAUUGAAGGAUAUAUCCAGAAUGGGCUAGGUGAGGAGGCACUGAAACUAUUAAGGCAAAUGCUACGGGCUGGCACACAGCCAGAUCAGUUCAAUCUUGCCAGUAUUCUUAAUGCUUGUGCCAGCUUAGCAGCCCUGGAAAUUGGAAAGCAGGUCCAUUCUUUUAUUAUCCAAAAAGGAUUUGACGUAGAUAUCUGUGUGGGGAAUGCCAUUAUUGACAUGUAUGCCAAGUGUGGAAGUUUGGUGGAUGCACAAAAAGCGUUUGUCAAAAUAUAUAAAAGAGAUGUUGCCUCCUGGAAUGCGAUGAUGGGUGGAUAUGCACAGCAUGGUUAUGGGAAGGAGGCUGUUGAACUCUUUGAACAAAUGCAACAAGAAGGUGUGAAGCCAAAUCAUAUUACUUUUGUAUGUGUUCUUUCUGCAUGUAGCAAUGCUGGACUAUUGCAUAAAGGUUGUCGCCUAUUUGAUUCCAUCCUGCUAGAUCAUGACAUCACUUUAACAAUGGAGCAUUAUGCAUGUAUGGUUGAUCUUCUUGGCCGUGCUGGUCAGCUGGGUGAGGCAGAAGAACUCAUCAACAAUAUGCCCUUUGAGCCUAGUGCUUUAGUUUGGCGAACCUUACUUGCUGCCUGCAGAAUCCAUGGGGAUAUUGAAUUAGGAAAACGUGCAGCAGAACAUGUUCUGAGGAUAGAACCACAAGACUCUGCAGCAUAUGUGCUCUUAUCUAAUAUCUAUGCUGCAUCUGGCAGGUGGGAUCAUCUUACAAGUGUGAGAAAAUCAAUGAAAGAAAGGGGUGUGAAAAAGGAACCAGGACUCAGCUGGAUUGAAGUAAAAGGAAGGGUGCAUUCUUUUACGGUCAUGGACAGAUCACACAUACAGACAGAGGAAAUAUACAGGAAGCUGGAAAUAUUAAUGGAGUUGAUAAAGGGAGCAGGUUAUGUCCCUAACACAAAUUUUGUGCUGCACGAUGUCGAGGAGGAACAAAAAGAAAAAUUAUUAUCAUAUCAUAGUGAGAAGCUGGCCAUUGCAUUUGGGCUUAUUAGCAUCCCACAGGGAAUGCCUAUUAGAAUUAUCAAGAAUCUUCGUAUAUGUGGUGAUUGCCAUACGGCUGCCAAACUCAUUUCUAGGAUUGCAAAGCGAGAACUUUUCUUAAGAGAUGCUAAUCGCUAUCAUCAUUUCAAAGAUGGGAUGUGUUCUUGUGGGGAUUAUUGGUGAUAAUAAAAAACAAACAAUGAACAUACAUGUGAUCCUAUACCUUACCUCUGACUCAGGCUAAUGACCUGUUUCAGCUUUGGAAGCAGGCUGUUUUAUCUCGGUAGCACUGUCAUCUUGUCAGCACUGGGUCUUUGGUAGUAGCUUCUGAUGACUGCAGUAGCAAGUCACUUUGAUAACACUUUCAUCUUCAGCAGCAAUCUGUGUGUGACAUUAGCAUCACUAUAACUUCAACAGCAUCUGGGAUGAUGUCAGCAGCAAUUACAAUUUUGAUAGCAUCUGAGACCACUUCAGUGGCAAGGUGUCUCGCUGGUGGUGCUGUCUUCUGGAAACCAUUGGAGUUCCUAAGUGUUGAAGAAUAGCGUCAGUCAGUAAUCUGAUCUGACUGAGUCAUUUAACAAAUUAAUUUACUAAUGAAUAUUCAUUGUAUUUGAAUCAACUAUUAUAUAAUUUGAUUCUCUGAGAUAAUCAACAUGUAUCGAUUAAUAUAUUAAUCAAUUCUAUGUAAGGUGUAUUACAUAUGAAUCGAUUCAUAUAUUAAUCGAUUCUAUGUAAUGUCUAAGUAUGAAUUAGUUUCUUGUUAAUCCAUGUUAACUAACUAAUCUAUGACGUGUGAUUACAUGAAACGAUUCAAUGAUCAAAACCGUAUUAUCUUCUUGCUUUAGACGUGUUAUGUCUAAAUGAUUUUAUGGAGAGAGACAUGAUGGUUGGGAGAUGUGAUGAUUAAGAGGAUCGUGUUGAUUGGUUUAGACAUCGUUUUCUUAUAUUAGUCCGAUCUCUCUGUCUCUCUCCAUUCAAAAAAAAAAACAAGAAUCGUAGAAGAUAGAAGUAUAACUUUAUAGUUCCACAUCUAUAUAUUCGAAUUGUCCAGCAUCAUUAGCAGUUCUGAUUUUCUGUCAUCGUUUUACACCAUCAUCAUUCAGAUUAAAUUGCAUCAUCUUUCAGUCUGCCUUACACAGUAAUCAAUCAGAUUGAAUUCCCUCUCUUGUGCUGUGAUUAAUCUGUAUCUGUCUGUAAGGCAGUUUCAAAUUAAAAUCUGAUCUCCAUAACUUAACACUAAGUAAUUGUAAUAACAGUUGGGCUGUUACACUAGGCAAAAAUGAUAUUUGAUGAUGACAGAAAGAGGAAAAACAAUUAGGCACUUAUGGUGGGAUUCCAAAAGAGAAUGAAACUACUCGUCUUCUUGUGCAGAGACAACAAAUGUAGAACCAUGGAACAGGAAAGAGAGAAAGGGGCAGAGAGUAGGCUCUAGAUGAGAUUCGCAGAACAUUUGCUCAGCAAAGGGAAAAGGAUUGGGAAAAGAGGGAAGAGCUCAUGAGGUUGUCUAGAGAUUGGCCAUUGAAGGGGCCUGCAAGCAAUGGUCUGUGCGCAGAUUUGUGUGUGGAUUUGAAGCAUCACUAUGGUGUUGAUAGUUGUUGUAAGCUAUAGUUAGUUGAGCAUGUGGGGUUGUGUGCUGAGGCUUCUUUUCAACCUAUUUGUAACCCUGUGAGGACAUUAUACUAUCUAAUGAAAAAUAACAUUGUUUUUGCUUAUGUUUGGCAUUUAAUCUGUUGUUGUGUAUGGCUGCUAGGAUAGGCUAAGGUUAUCUUUCAUCGGAUACCCUUGCUAGAUUGCACCACUCUUUUGGCAUCUUUGCUUCAAGAAUGCAGACCUCUAUUCAAGUUUGUGAAGCUAGUAGUAUGUGGCAUGUGCUUUAUCUUAUCUUGCUUAUUAUUUUGUUUUCUUGUUUAUUCCAUAUCUUUCCUAGUUGAUGGUCUCUGUAUUUGUUCCUUGAGAAGAGCUUCUUUGUGUCUGCAAAAGCAAAAAAUCUCUUAUAGUUGUAAAACCCUCUAAGCUAAUCUUCUAUCCUUGCUCAAAUGUAGCUUGGUAGUAUUUUUUUGGUUUUGCCAUAUAUUGAUAUAUGUGAUUUCUUCAUUUUCACAAUCAUGAUUGGACACUGAAGGCACUUUUCUUGAGGUACUUUCUGCCUGCAUUAACUACUUUAUGAUUCCAUCCUAAAAUAACUAGUCAGCCUUAGGAUGUUUCCUGCCAUAGGAAGACACUUAAAUUUUUUUUACCAGCUAUAUUGACAAAUCUGAAAUCUCUCUUUGUAAUUUUAAACAAUCUUUAACUUUUAUAGGGUCCUGAUCUAGUUUCCAAACAGGCUCUCCACGUUUUUUCCAUGGUUUCGUUUGACAAUGUGAAACCCAUCCUACAUACUUGGAAUCCCUUGCUGGUCAAUGUAUUGAUUUGUUUGUUAUGUUUAAAUUAAUGUGGAAGUUUGCAAUGGUUAUAUUACUUGAGGAGAAAUUGGGUUUGUGAUCUUCAUUUCUUCUUAAAAUUUCUAGCUGGUUGAAGAGAAGGAAAUUAAAGGAAAUGAAAUAUCCCUGAGGAUUGUGAGAGAAUUUAUGACAUACUUCUAAGUUGCUGGUAGAAACCUUGAACACAUGAAACCCUAGCAAGGCUGUAAAACCAAGGGUUUUGCCCCAGUGGAAUCAAUCUUCGUUUGUAAUUAAGGCAACAAGUGAAAUGGUUUUAUGGGAUGGGUUAUGCCUAUUCCUUGUGAUGCUGUUGUAUUAAGCGAGUGAAAUGGUAUGUUUUUGGGAAGGUGGGAAGGGAGUUUUAAGCUUAUGCCUCUUCCUUGUGAUGCUGUUAUAUUUGACAUGAUUUCCAAAAUAACAUGCUCCAAUAUUACUUACAUGCACAGUGCACAGGUAGAAGAAACAUGAAUAUAUAUGUGAUUGAAAUAUUGAAAAUAGUAGAGAAACAAAACUGAAACUGCAGAGAAACUACACCAUGAAUCACAAAUAAUAAAGUGUUGUAUGAUAUAAUGAUUUCUCAGUGAUUUCAAUACGUUCAUCCACAGUAAUUGGAUUGAUGCAAUCUGGCUUUAUAAACCCAUUAUUUUCCUGUUCAAAACCAACUAACCUUACCUACAGGAAUGUAACUUCCCAAAAACUUACAAUUGUUUUAUUUAUAGAUUAAGUACUAUCUCAUCUAACAUUUAUUUAUUAAUAUUUUUCUACGUAACCGGGGGACGUGUCCCCUUCCUGAAAGCUCCCCUCCCGGUCUCGGGGAUGUUUUGGGGACUUGGGGACAGCCAGGGGACGUUUCCCCCCUGCCCCCAAAAUGUGGGAAUUUGCUGGGGACGUCCUGGAAACGGGGGGACGUUUGCCCCAGCCGUGGGGGAUGUUCAUAUGUCCCGGGGAUGGCUGUGACGUCCCCAAUCCAUCCCGGGGAUGCUUGGAUGUCCCCCACGGCUGGGGCUAGUUAAAAACAUUAAAAAAAUGUCAUAUUUUUAAAUUUUUUUUCCUAACGUGGGCCCCAAAUUAUUUACCCUAAAUCGUUCCAAUUGUUAAAAAUUUAAAAGGCAACGAUAUUAAAUUAUUAAUAUAAGUCUUGAUUAUGUGAUAAUUCAUAAUAUCGUUAACUUAUAUUAAAAUUUAAUAUAAUCUGAAGAUCAAGACAGAUAAAUUAUUAAUAUAAGGCAACAAUAAAUAUUUAUGUUUCAUAUCGGGCCAUAUUUCAUGUUUGACCGUAUGAUAUAUUUAAAAUCUUAAAAGGGAACUAUAUCAAUAUUUCAUCUCUUACCAUAUGAUAUUCAUAUAUUUAAAAGGGAAGGAUAUGCGAUACGGGCGAUAAAAACAAUUAUUUCCAGCAAUAAUUGUUUAAGCAAAGCAAUCAAAUUUUCAACAAAUCCAACAAGUGCUAGCAUAUUGACAACGAAUUUUCAAUUAUGAUUGCAUAUUGAGUAUUGACAAUGAAUUCUGAACUCUGAAUGCAUAUAGAAUGAAUUUUGAACACAAAUGUGGUAUUUUAAGGUUCUAUAAUGUACAUAUAGCUGCUUUAUCCAUGUUUUCAUACGAAUAUAAUGUAUAUAUACAUGCUUUAUCUAUUUUUCAUAUGAAAAUUUAAAUUUCCCUCUAUAUUUUAAAAUUUCCCUAUAUUUUAUAUAGCUGUCCCCUUUGCCGUCCCCCCGCCGUCUCCAAAAUUGGCAAAAGGAUUUGCCGUCCUGGAAACUCGUCCCGCCGUGCCCUGCCGUCCCCUUCCCGGAAACUUGGGGUAACAUAGGUAUUAUUAAUUCCAAUAUGAAAUGUGCAAUGGAAGUGAAAAUUCUUAUGCCACAACUCAUUUGAUUCAGAAUCCUAUUGCUCUGUCAAUGGGGUGUAUAAGACCAAUUAUUUUUGGAAGCAUAUGGGGAAUUUGAGGAUCCUUGAUAUGCAAUUAUACUUGAAGGCUGCCUUCUUCAUCAUAUGGCAAAUAAGAGCACAAUGGCGGUGUGUAUUUUAAACUGUAUUACUUUGGAAAAUUGUUUUAUUUGUUCUGCAUCUUAUGUUUCUUCUUCUGUUCUUUGUGACAAGGUGUGUUGGAAUAUUUGAGCCUUCAUAGGAUUGAGUUGUUAGGGAUGUGAUCUUCUUAUUCUUCUUGAUGGAUAUUUUGUUACUCUUGUAGUUGUUAUUAUAGUAUCCUGUGAUCUGAUUGGUGUCACAAUAUGUACUUGUAUUGUAUGGUGUACUUGUAUUGGAGUCACAAUAUGCACUUGUAUUGUCUGUAUAGCCUGACUUGGCCUAGUGGUGGAGAACUUGUGCCUUGUUUGUAGUGCAAUUAGGUGCCUCACGCAAGUACGAGGUAGUCCCAUAUUGCUUUAACCCAUCUGUAGACCCAUAUACAGAUUGCUGGCAUCAUGGACUAUAAAAGACCCUUUCCUUUCCUUUCCUUUUGUUGUUCCAUGGAAUAUUUGCAUAGAUUUUUUUGGUUUCUUCGCUGGUUAAGAAAGCUUGCUGUCUGGAUUGGUAUGAUUUCAUUUGUAUAGGAGCUUUUGACUCCUUGGACAUCUUAUGCUUCUAUAUUUAGAGCACCUCUAUUGCAUGUUCAUAUACAUAUGGUUGCAUUUCAAAUAUUUGUAAUAUGAUUUGUGGAAGGAAAAAUUAGAGUAUUCAUUGUUGGUUAUGCUCAAAUUUUGUAUGCAUGUGUGUAGUACAGUCCGUCUUAAGAUCAAAUUUGAAGAUUGUUUCAUUGUUUUCUCCAAGGAGUGUACUCUUAGAAAAUAUAGUUUAGCAUCAUCAAUGUAUCCAAAGAAGUAAUUAACUGAUUGUUGAGAGCAGUAAAUAGAUCAUUCUAGCAACAAGUAAUACCAUGCAAGGGCUUUUCCUAGGAGGGUGAGAAAUUAUUUGCAGUUCAAUACCAUAAUAUAGCUUACAAUUAAUGCACACUUGCCAAUGCAAUUGUUUACAUGGACAGUUGGGUUUUCCCUGAAAAUUCUGCAAAAUUUUAGAUAUUUGAGUAUGGAAUAUGGAAAAGAAGCCAACCUAAUGAGUGCUGAGCUCCACUAUUUCACAAUUUACAGAUGGGGCAUGGAAAAGUAGCCAGAAUGACGAGUCGUGUGUUACAUAGUAAAGGGUUGGAAUCUCAGACACUUAUGGCCAUGGUAUUAUGUUGCAAAUGAGGUUAACAAUUGACAUGUGGUCUAAUAGGUAGCUUGUGGAUUAGUUGGUUAAACAAGCAGUCUGAAAGUUAGAUAAUUGGGUGGGAUUUGAUUUGUGUGUUUUAUGACCUCCAUGAGUAGUUGGUACAAUAAUGACAAUGUUUUGUUAUUUAUAUUGGUAAUAAUUACAAGGUAAGGAGACCCACUUAGGACACGCGCACCCUUAAGCAUUUCUUAAUAAGGAGAAAGAACAAUUAACAUAAUCCACUACUUUGGGAAUUUCACCUUCUAGCCUUUUUCCCCACUUGCAAAGCAUUUGGAAUUUGUAUUGCUUAUAAGCCAUCCCUGUGUCAUAACAUUUACCAACGUGGGAUUGACCCUCUUACAACCUGAUCAUGCAGCAACUUACUUUCUCCAUCAAUCGUUAGAUGAAUGGCUACUAAUAGGCAGCUCAUAUUGUUGUAGAGGAACUUGUUGAGUACUAGUUAUAUAGUGAACAUUGUAACUGGGUCAUCAAUUUGACUCUUAAAGUGAGACCCCAUUGACAUUGUUGGCUGUUCUUGAUAUGCUUGCUGAUUCAUACCUGUCUGAAGAACAGGAAAAGGACCCUAGCAUGUGGAAUUGAUACUCUUGAAGAUGUUGAUUCAUCUUGUCAUUGCUUGAAAUGGAAUAAUGAUUCAUCUUCACAACAUUGAGUGAGAAUGAGUACAAUUUGAGAAUGAUAGGAUGACAAAUUUAAAAGCAGGAUAGGAGCAGUAAUGAUGCAACAUAUGCUUAUCUUCUUAUGUUUAAAUAGGUAGUGCUGGGAAAGGUGUGUUGCACACCUUGCUUAAUAAUGUAAUAUUCUUAUUUUGUUGUGGUGCAUCUUAGGAUGCACGUACCACUCUAAGAUAGGCAUUUUUGGAGACACUUGUAAGGUGUAUGGGAAAUUGAACAUACAUUUAAUUUUGAGGGCCUUGAUUUAGUGGCAUGUGGUUUUGGGCUCAUAGUUUUUGCAAUACCAAUUAAUGGUCUUGCGCAAGCAUGGUUUAUAAAAGCAAGCACAUGGGUAGUUGUUUGAGGUAUGCAUUGCAGAGCAUCUGAAGGAGAUUGUAUGUGGUAAGAUCUUGAGGAAGGCAUGGAGUGGAAUGUGUGGCUCCGAUAUGCUUUUGGAUUGAUCACAUGAGGAGUGCAAUUGGGUUGCUUAAUGCUGCCACAUUUCUACACAGAGGACUCUGUAAGCGUAUUGUUAUCACAUUCUAGGGAUAAUACAUUGAGUUUGUGGUGCUUUGAAGGCUGUUUUUUUCCUGAAAAGAUUUUCCAGGGUACAUUCAGUGUCAUCUUUGUGUUUUUUUGCAUUGUGGAUUCUGCAUACUAUUUUGGUGUAGUUUCUCUCAUAAAGGCUAUGUGGAAUUAGCAUUUGUGGCUUGAAACUCCUAAUAGGUAGUAGAGGUAAAUGUCACGCUCUGAUGAUAAUUGAUUUUUUUUGCCAACCCCAGUGUGGAAGAAGUAAAACCUCCAUUAACAUUUGACCAUUCCUAAUCAA